AAGAGUGUACCAAUAUAACAAAACAAAAAAAUCGAUAAUCGAAAAAUUUGAAAUUCGCGAAAUUUGAAGAGUCACCUUACUUUUUGAACACACCUCGUAUAGCGAAGAAUGGGUAAAAUUCUAGUGACUGUAUAGGAUUUGCAAUAUUUUUGUAUACCCAAGCGUACUUAAAUCAGAGGGGGGAAUGGGAUGGGAUUAAUCGAACGGCACGCGAAUUAUUUUAUAAACUAGACCAAAGCUUAGACAUACAUAUGUGUACCUACCACACCAUACAUACAUAUGAAACUUAUUUUUACGAAACUACGCCACAUCAACUCAAUGGAACAGAUCGAUUCGAAACAUACAAAUCAGAAGGAAUAUCGCAUAUGUACCUAUGCUUAAGAGAUACUGAAGAUAGAAAGUCGGAAGAGAUAGCCAUAUAUAUAUAUAUUAUAUUAUAUAUCUUGUGUAACGUUGAUAGUCGUCGGGUCUGGCCUUACACUGUUUGUCCUUGAUUCUGCUACAAUACCUGAGGAAUGUCGCCAUAACAUGCUGACCAUGUACACUAAUCAUAACAUUAGAGCUGAUCAAUAACGUGCCAAUCGAAGCAAUCAAACCGAUUGCUCGCUAAAUCAAAUCAAAUUAAAUCAAAACGACACAAAACUAAAGUUCCAUAAACAAAGUUUUCACGAGGACCUGAUUUCGAAUGCCGACCUUUAAGCAUAUAUACAGAAUCAUAUAUAUAUAUAUAUAUAUAUAUAUAUAUUAAAGAGAAGAAGGAAUACUUAAAGCCAGUGUCUUACAUGAAUAUUGUAAUUUUUGUUGAGUCCAUGAUAAGUAAGCAAAUAAAAUUCAACUAAACGGAUCAAA